ACCUUCUCUGAGCACUAGCUGGAACACGGCGGCUCUUCUUUCUUCCACUCUGAGACAAGAACACAUGCGCUUUUCCUAGUUUCACUCUUGUGGCCCAGUCCGGAGUGCAGUGGCACCAUCUCAGCUCAUUGCAACCUCCGCCUCCCCGGUUCAAGCGAUUCUCCUGCCUCAGCCUCCCGAGUAGCUGGGAUUACAGGUACCCGCCACCAUGCCCAGCUAAGUUUUUGUAUUUUUAGUAGAGACGGGCUUUCGCCAUGUUAGCCAGGAUGGUCUCGAGGUCCUGACCUCGUGAUCUGCCCACCUCAGCCUCCCAAAGUGCUGGGAUUACAGGCGUGAGCCACCCCUCCCGGGCAAUUUGUAAAUUUUUAAGAAACGCCCUUUGUUGUACACAAAUUAGACUUCAAUAAAGUUAGCCUUAAAACAGAAAACUAGAGGAAAGGAGAACUGGCUCAAAUUUUCUAUACUUUUCUCCUGUAACCACCCCUCAUUUCCUCCUUGAGCUGUCUCCCUGUCAUGUGAACAUGGUCGUCAACAAGUGGCUUCUAUAAUUGCUCAGACUUUCUUUUCCUCAACUGAAUUCCU
rnacentral:antisense_RNA from 1 species